rnacentral:rRNA from 1 species
AUUGAACGCUGGCGGCAGGCCUAACACAUGCAAGUCGAGCGAGCGGCGGACGGGUGAGUAAUGUAGGGGGACUGCCCGAUAGAGGGGGAUAACUACUGGAAACGGUGGCUAAUACCGAAUACUAUCGGAUAACCCAUAUGGGAUUAGCUAGUAGGUGGGGUAAAGGCUCACCAAGGCGACGAUCUCUAGCUGGUCUGAGCGGAUGAUCAGCCACCCUGUGACUGAUACACGGCCCAGACUCCUACGGAGGCAGCAGUGGGGAAUAUUGCACAAUGGGCGCAAGCCUGAUGCAGCCAUUCCGCGUGUAUGAAGAAGGCCUUAGGGUUGUAAAGUACUGUCAGCUGGCAGGCGUUACCCGCAGAAUCGGCACCGGCUCACUCCAUGCCAGCAGCCGCGGUCCUUC